rnacentral:rRNA from 1 species
AUUGAACGCUGGCGGCAUGCCUUACACAUGCAAGUCGAACGGUAACAGGUCUUCGGAUGCUGACGAGUGGCGAACGGGCGAGUAAUACAUCGGAACGUGCCCGAUCGUGGGGGAUAACGAAGCGAAAGCUUUGCUAAUACCGCAUACGAUCUACGGAUGAGAGCAGGGGACCGCAAGGCCUUGCGCGAACGGAGCGGCCGAUGGCAGAUUAGGUAGUUGGUGGGAUAAAAGCUUACCAAGCCGACGAUCUGUAGCUGGUCUGAGAGGACGACCAGCCACACUGGGACUGAGACACGGCCCAGACUCCUACGGGAGGCAGCAGUGGGGAAUUUUGGACAAUGGGCGAAAGCCUGAUCCAGCCAUGCCGCGUGCAGGAUGAAGGCCUUCGGGUUGUAAACUGCUUUUGUACGGAACGAAAAGACUCUGGUUAAUACCUGGGGUCCAUGACGGUACCGUAAGAAUAAGCACCGGCUAACUACGUG